CAACGCUGGCGGCAGGCCUAACACAGCAAGUCGAGCGGAUGACGGGAGCUUGCUCCUUGAUUCAGCGGCGGACGGGUGAGUAAUGCCUAGGAAUCUGCCUGGUAGUGGGGGACAACGUUUCGAAAGGAACGCUAAUACCGCAUACGUCCUACGGGAGAAAGCAGGGGACCUUCGGGCCUUGCGCUAUCAGAUGAGCCUAGGUCGGAUUAGCUUUGUUGGUGAGGUAAUGGCUCACCAAGGCGACGAUCCGUAACUGGUCUGAGAGGAUGAUCAGUCACACUGGAACUGAGACACGGUCCAGACUCCUAC
rnacentral:rRNA from 1 species